UACAGAGGGGGCAAGCGUUGUUCGGAAUUACUGGGCGUAAAGGGCGCGUAGGCGGCCUUCUAAGUCGAACGUGAAAUCCCUGGGCUCAACCCAGGAACUGCGUCCGAUACUGGAAGGCUUGAAUCCGGGAGAGGGAUGCGGAAUUCCAGGUGUAGCGGUGAAAUGCGUAGAUAUCGGGAGGAACACCAGUGGCGAAGGCGGCUUCCUGGCCUGUUCUUGACGCUGAGGCGCGAAAGCUAGGGGAGCAAACGGG
rnacentral:rRNA from 1 species